rnacentral:lncRNA from 1 species
UAUGCCCCUCGGUGGAAGGAUAUUUGUGCAAUUGAUGAUUGUGUGGAGCCUGAUAAUUGGUUUUCGGAAGCCAAGUCUCAAAAGCUUGCUAAUGUAGGUAAUGCUCUUUUUUGCAAGGAUAGUUGGUUGGGUGUUUCCUCUCUCGAUGUUGUUAGAGUUGUGUUAGGCUCAUGGCGCGCCAAUGAGCAUGUGUGGGUGUGCGUAGGCAG